rnacentral:lncRNA from 10 species
GUAGUUCUGAACUGAGUGAAAGUCUGGAUAAUUCCAAACUUUAUGUCUUUCAGAUGUGAUUUUUUUCCCCCAAAAUUUUUAGCAGUGUGUGCUAAAACUAACAUUUUCCUAUGGUUCUCCAGAGCUGCUGCUCUGCACCAAUACAAUGCAGCUAACAAGAGGUUUUAUGGAGAAUGUUCUGUUUGGCAGUGCUGUAAUUGAAGGACACCUGCCAGUCUUUUGCCUAUCAGUAGAGAGACGCUGUUAAAGGAAAGGGAAGAUUAUUUGCAAGUGAGUAGAAGAACGAUCCAACAAAAGAAUGAAAUGAAGUAAUUAGUUUCCUGCUAUACAUAAGCACCCUCACUGCUUUAGAAUCUUCAGGCAGUAGUGAUUGAGGAAAAUAAUGACCUUCCCCAUGCAAGGCAGAGUCACCUGCAGCCACUGACCAAUCACAGCACCGUGUUUAUGAGCUGUAACGCUCACCGAGAAGAUCUGCAGUUUUACUCCUGAGGCCAGCGAGACCACGAACCCACUGGGAGGAAUGAACAACUCUAGAUGCACUGCCUGAAGAGCUGUGACACUCACCAUGAAGGUCCCUGCAGCUUCACUCCUGAAGCCAGCGAGACCAUGAACCCACCAGAAGGAAGAAGCUCCGAACACGUCCGAACAUCAGAAGGAACAAAUUCCGGACACACCAUUUUUAAGAACUGUAACACACACCACGAGGGUCUGCGGCUUCAUUCUUGAAGUCAGUGAGACCAAGAACCCACCAAUUUCGGACACACUGGGAUUACAGGCAUGAGCCAUUGUGCCCAGCCAUGUUUCCUCUUUUGUAUAGCAAGUACCUACCUGUUAGAAUUGUAAGUUUUUAUAAGCUUCUGCAUGAAAGGCACCUGCCAUGCUACCUCAAAAGAUCAUUGUGAAAAUCUCACUCCAGUGGCUCUAGAUUAACGGAACAAGACUAAAACUAAAAGCAGGAAGCCAAUGUGUCGUGCUAUGAUUUGAGGAGGGUACAUACAUAAAAUCCUUGACGCCCUUGCCUGUCCUUUCACAGUUCCUUUCCUUUGAGACUCAACAUUUUUGUCACCUUAAAUGGUUAUCAGAUGAUCCCUUAGCACGCAUUACUUCAAAGAUAGUGGGAGAAAAAAAUAACUGGGUAGAAAGACAACAGGAACACGGUUUGCUUUGGUUCCCUACUCAGAGACCCAUAAGGCAUAUUAGCAUAGUGAAGUCUCCCCUUGAGGAAUAGAUGGGUGAAAAGGUCACGGGGUGGAAAGGAUAGGCUA